rnacentral:rRNA from 1 species
GGACGAACGCUGGCGGCGCGCCUAACACAUGCAAGUCGAACGAGAGAUGAAGAGCUUGCUCUUCAGAUCGAGUGGCGAACGGGUGAGUAACGCGUGAGGAACCCUGCCUCAAAGAGGGGGACAACAGUUGGAAACGACUGCUAAUACCGCAUAAGCCCACAGCUCGGCAUCGAGCAGAGGGAAAAGGAGCAAUCCGCUUUGAGAUGGCCUCGCGUCUGAUUAGCUGGUUGGCGGGGUAACGGCCCACCAAGGCGACGAUCAGUAGCCGGUCUGAGAGGAUGAACGGCCACAUUGGGACUGAGAUACGGCCCAGACUCCUACGGGAGGCAGCAGUGGGGAAUAUUGGGCAAUGGGGGAAACCCUGACCCAGCAACGCCGCGUGAAGGAAGAAGGCCUUCGGGUUGUAAACUUCUUUUACCAGGGGCGAAAGAAAUGACGGUACCUGGAGAAAAAGCAACGGCUAACUACGUG